UCGGCAAUGGGCGAAAGCCUGACCGAGCGACGCCGCGUGAGCGAUGAAGGCCAUUAGGUUGUAAAGCUCUGUCGAGGGGGAGCAAGCCGCAAGGUUGAGCGAUCCCUGGAGGAAGCACGGGCUAAGUUCGUGCCAGCAGCCGCGGUAAGGCGAACCGUGCGAACGUUAUUCGGAAUCACUGGGCUUAAAGGGUGCGUAGGCGGGUGGACAAGUCGAGGGUGAAAGCCUCUAGCUUAACUAGAGAAGUGCCCUCGAUACUGAUUGUCUUGAGAGAGAUAGGGGCACACGGAACUUCCGGUGGAGCGGUGAAAUGCGUAGAUAUCGGAAGGAACGCCGGUGGCGAAAGCGGUGUGCUGGAUCUUUUCUGACGCUGAGGCACGAAAGCUAGGGUAGCGAACGGGAUUAGAUACCCCGGUAGUCCUGGCCCUAAACGAUGAGUACUAGAUUGUGGACUGACAUGGGUUCACAGUCGAAGCAAAAGUAUUAAGUACUCCGCCUGGGGAGUAUGGUCGCAAGGCUGAAACUCAAAGGA
rnacentral:rRNA from 1 species